rnacentral:rRNA from 1 species
AUUGAACGCUGGCGGCAUGCCUUACACAUGCAAGUCGAACGGCAGCACGGGUGCUUGCCCCUGGUGGCGAGUGGCGCACGGGUGAGUAUUACAUGGGAACAUGUCCUGUAGUGGGGGAUAGCCCGGCGAAAGCCGGAUUAAUACCGCCUACGAUCUACGGAUGCAAGCGGGGGCCCUUCGGGCCUCGCGCUUUAGGGUUGGCCGAUGGCGGAUUAGCUAGUUGGUGGGGUAAAGGCCUACCAAGGCGACGAUCAGUAGCUGGUCUGAGAGGACGACCAGCCACACUGGGACUGAGACACGGCCCAGACUCCUACGGGAGGCAGCAGUGGGGAAUUUUCGACAAUGGGCGAAAGCCUGAUGCAGCAACGCCGCGUGUGUGAAGAAGGCCUUCGGGUUGUAAAGCACUUUUGUCCGGAAAGAAAUACUUGGCCCUAAUACGGUCGGGGGAUGACGGUACCGGAAGAAUAAGCACCGGCUAACUACGUG